rnacentral:rRNA from 1 species
CAGUAGCCGCGGGAAUACGAAGGGGGCUAGCGUUGUUCGGAUUUACUGGGCGUAAAGGGCGCGUAGGCGGGCGAAUAAGUCAGGGGUGAAAUCCCAAGGCUCAACCUUGGAACUGCCUUUGAUACUGUUUGUCUUGAGUUCGAGAGAGGUAAGUGGAACUGCGAGUGUAGAGGUGAAAUUCGUAGAUAUUCGCAAGAACACCAGUGGCGAAGGCGGCUUACUGGCUCGAAACUGACGCUGAGGCGCGAAAGCGUGGGGAGCAAACAGGAUUAGAUACCCCCGUAGUCCCUGUCUCUUAUAC